UGUAUUCAUAUAAGAACAUAGAAAUUUGCUUUAUUGUUUGGUUGGUGACAAUAUCUCUGUGAAAUGUAAUGCUUCCACAUCUAGGAUUAGCUUAGAACAGUUCCAUAAAUAGAUCUAAUGGGUUGCUGCCAAUCAGAUUCAGCUUAUGAGAUUAUGCCAGGACAACUGGUUGAUUAUCGAUUGUUGUUCAACAAAGUGUAGAAGCGGAGGGCUUCUCGCAGAAUAUGCAUGUCAGCAUGUGCAUGUUAUCCAUUCAUAAGUUACAGAAAAAAUUGCUUUCAGUUAUAAGACUUACAAGGGUAAGCUGAUGCACGCCAACGAUUUGCAGAACUCAAAGAAGGCGACAAGACAUGGUUAAAUUGAAACUGGAACAAUUUCUUUACUGUGUAUCACAGGCUGCAUUCUUGAAAAAUGGGUCCUUACCCCAUUGCCAAGAAGAUUGGCGAUGGUACUUGCUUAGUUGAUCUUGCACCUCAAGUUAGACCAUUGAAGAUCUUAUGGCUUAUAUUGAGCAUCAUGAGGAUGAGCAUGCAGGAGAGCAGGUUAUGCAGAUUCCACAAGCACCAAAUGAUGUAGAAGAUGAGAUUGUAGAUGUUCUUGAUGAUCAACUCCAAAAUGUCUUGUGUUAGUGUACCUGAACUCCUUAACGAAGUGGAAACGCCAUUCUUUGUCGCGUUGCACUUGGAUUACUGAAGAAGACUUGAACACAGACCUUUUACAAGUGAUACUUUUCAAUUCAUUCGCUAGAGCUGAAUGUUUUCAACCUGGGGGAAAUUGAUGCAAGUGGCCAUCCAGUCCAACAGUACGAGAGAAACUUCAAUCAAUAAAGGGGAUUGAUCAAAUGCCAAAUCAUGUGGGCCCAUGGUUCGAAGCUCUAUGGGUCACUAGGACUAAGUUGUAUGAUCCUCCAAAACAAGCCAUAUGGUCUAGUCAAUGGAAUGCAACUGGAGCUCAAUGUUUUCAACCUGGGGAAAAUUGAUGCAAGUGGCCAUCCAGUUUAACAGUAUGAGAUAAAAAUAAGAGUGGAGCCCAAAAUCAAGGAGAUUGAUCAUACACCAAAUCAUGUGGGCCCAUGGUUUGAGGCUCUAUGGGCCACUAGGACCAAGUUGUAUGGUUCUCCAAAUCAAGCCAUAUAUGGUUUAGUCCAAUGGAAUGCAUGACUGGACCUAUGUCCACAAUCAUGUUAUUUUGGUCUUUAUUUCUUGAGUUUUACUUAUUACCUGAUUAGCUAGUUAACAAUUACUAUUUGGUCAAGUUAGUAGCUUUAUUGUUCGUGGAACACCCCCCAUAUAAAGGGUGCUUGUAGCGACUUGUGUAGUUUUGCCUUCGGAAA